rnacentral:lncRNA from 1 species
GUUUCCUGAAUAUUCUACAUAGUACUGAUGGCUUGAAAACUAAAGCCCUACCUCCAAGAAUGAAUUUAGGAAGAGUAGAAAUUGAAGUAAGAGUUGUAGAAACAAUAUUAUUUGAAUACCCCAAAUUCAAUCCAGGGCAUUCAAGAAAAAUUCUGAGAGGUAUGACCAAAUAGUGAUUAUAAAUAAAUAAUUAGAUAUGUGAGUCAAAGUAGUUUGAUAUAUUUGAAGAAAUAAUCCUUUCAGAGGGGAGAUUGCAUCUAUGAAAGGGAGGAAUCUAAAAUGAUAGAACUGGCAUGGUCUCUACAGAGAAUAUGCAUUAGCUGCUGGGUGCCAGCCAUUAAGAUCAUCUAAUUAAUUCCUUCUCUGACUGUAUGGUCAUUAAGUACUUUUUGGAUUACAUUUGGUUUCACAUUUGGAAAUGCCUGUAGGAAGAAAAAGUUCUGAUCAUUAAAUAAAUGAAGCUGUCUACUUGGAGGUUGUAUCUUCCCAUGAGUGAUUUUUAUGCAUAUGACUCUAAGGACUUGGAAACCAGCUGAGAUUCAGAUCCUCCCUUUGUGUAGACAAUCUUCUCUGACCUUUUAAGACUGAAAAUUGAGCCCCACGUUGGUCAACAACUCCAAGUAUUGCUCUGGGACCUCUUUGGGAGACCAACUAUUCUAUCUCAGGCGACAACUAAUUGGAUUGGCCAUAUUUUUUAUUGAAAUUGUUAAUGGUUACACCAGUGACAAGUUCCUUGUAGAAAACUAAGUAAAGGCAUACAUUUAUUGAUAUUGGUAAAUAAUCUGAAGAUGAGCACAAGACCCAAACUGGACCAAUCAGAACCCUUUCAUGGGAGUUCUGAAGAUAAUUGGUAUCCCACUGAUGUCCAUGCCAUAAGUGGAAGUCUGGAGUAGUCAACAGCGGAGGCUUUGCUCUCUGAACAGAGCCAGUCUCAAUAGGAGAAACAUCUGUGGAGCCACUGUAAGCAGGGUGGACAGCCAAUGCCCUGCCUGCACUCCACGUGUUCCUGAAGCCCAGUUAGACUUGUUCCUACACUUCAUUUGAUUAUGUGGAACAAAUUCCAAAAAUGACCCAAACUGAUAGAGUGUUGUUGAAUUGGAAUGUGCACUGCUAUGGUAACAGAAGGGUACUAAACGGCAAGGGAUUGUGAGGAAUGGUGAAGCAUGCACAGGGACUAAUGAAUAUCAACAUUCCUCAAUAUUUACCCAUUUGUAAACAAACCAAACCUUGGCACUUCCUGCUAAUUGAUGCC